rnacentral:rRNA from 1 species
GACGAACGCUGGCGGCGUGCUUAACACAUGCAAGUCGAACGGAAAGGCCCUGCUUUUGUGGGGUGCUCGAGUGGCGAACGGGUGAGUAACACGUGAGUAACCUGCCCUUGACUUUGGGAUAACUUCAGGAAACUGGGGCUAAUACCGGAUAGGAGCUCCUGCUGCAUGGUGGGGGUUGGAAAGUUUCGGCGGUUGGGGAUGGACUCGCGGCUUAUCAGCUUGUUGGUGGGGUAGUGGCUUACCAAGGCUUUGACGGGUAGCCGGCCUGAGAGGGUGACCGGCCACAUUGGGACUGAGAUACGGCCCAGACUCAUACGGGAGGGAGGAGUGGGGAAUAUAGCACGAUGGGCGGAAGCCAGCUGCAGCAACGCCGCGUGCGGGAGGACGGCCUUCGGGUUGUAAACCGCUUUCGCCUGUGACGAAGCGUGAGUGACGGUAAUGGGGAAAGAAGCACCGGCUAACUACGG